GAGGCUCCGGAGGAGACUUUCGUUGCUCUUUCCAGCUUCUAGAGGCUACUGCGUUCCUUGGCUCGUGGCCCCCUUUCCCCACCUUCAAGUCCAACAGCUUCCAGGGUCACGUCUCCUCUCUGUCUCACUCUCCCGCUUCCGUUUUACAAGGACCCUUGUGAUGACGUCGCGCCCACCCGGGCAGUCCAGGACCAUAUCCCCAUCCCGGGGUUCCUAGCUUCAUCUCAUCUGCAGGGGCCCUUCUGCACUGUGAGGUGACACAUCCGGGGUCCGGGGACUAGGGCACGCACAGCCACGGGAGCAAUUGUGCUUUUCAUCCCAGCCCUACUACACGCUGUCCCUCUGACCUCACCCACGCAGAUGACAUCCUGUGGGAGCUGUCCCCUCGGUGCCCCUCCUCACCCCCACCCCCUGCACCAGAGAGGAGGGGGGCGGGGCGGGGGGUGGAGCCAGAGUUCCAGAGGCUCGACCCCGUCCCUCGACGGGGUUCUUGAGCCCCCGGGGGACACCGGGCCCAGGAAGGACGUGGGAUGCCUUUCAGCCCUAACCAGAAGCGAAGCACCGAUACGUGUCACAACCUGGAUGAGCUCGAAAGCAGGGGCCCCAUCGCGGCUGGCUAGGACCCGCCGGCUUCAGCCCCUUUAAGACGACCUUGGAGGACCCGUUUUCAAAGCCCGGGCGACUCUCUGGCCCCCGGCUCUAUGGUGCGUCGUCACUUCCGGCCGGAAGUGCGUGUGCCGCGCGGCUUCGGCGCAGGGGGCGUGGAGGGAGCGCGGGCGCGCGCUUCCUCGUGGGUGAGUUCGCGGGAAGAUCUGUGUGCGGGGUGAAUGGUUUCUUUCCUGCCUGCUUCCAUGUACCUGAAGUGUAGUUGUUGGGGGCUUGAACUUUCCAGCUUUCUUGGGUUUCAUUUAACUCAACCAUGUAGCUUCUGAAUGCCGACCUGCUGAAGACCCUGUUUUGUAUGGAUACAAAUAAAAGGGGUCAGUCCCCAAGGAGA